UGGGCCGUCGCCAAGUUGGUCUAAGGCACGGGGUUUUGAUCCCCGCAUUCGUAGGUUCGAAUCCUACCGGCCCAGCCA
rnacentral:tRNA from 2 species